UACAGCGAGCUACUCGCUGUAGCUGCUAUGCCUCUCCCUCUCCAGCUCGCUCCAUCUCCAGGAUUUACAUAGGCUGAUUUCCGUGGGAAGCGCGAAAGCAGCGGAGCCUCCAUGGCAGACUUUCAGGAACGGAGGAAACUACAGAAACGACCCAUCGAAAAGUAUUAACGUCACAGUUUUCUCGCGUUUUCCAACUCGGACACACUACUUGCACUCUAACUGCCGGAUUUAUCGUCUCCUUCAGAUUGUUUAACUCAGGAAACCGUGUGUUUUCUGGGGCUGUGGCGAUGGCCGGUGGCGGCGGGGUGUCGCCGCUGGGGCUAGCACCUCCGUUGUGGUAUCACCGGGACCUGAGUCGCGCUGCUGCCGAGGAGCUGCUGGCCCGCGCGGGACGCGACGGGAGUUUCCUGGUUCGGGACAGCGAAAGUGUUAACGGGGCGUACGCUUUGUGUGUGCUUUUCCAGAAGCAUGUCCACACCUAUAGGGUUCUACCAGAUGAAGAGGGAUUCUUGGCAGUCCAGACAUCUCAGGGGGUGCAGCCGAAGCGGUUUAAGAGCCUCCCAGAGCUGGUACUGUUGUACCUCCAGCCCAGCCAGGGACUGGUCAGCACUCUGCUGUAUCCCGUAGACAGAGAGGAGAGCAUCCCAGAGGACAGGGACUACUCAGAUGGGGAAGAUGAGAAGCCACCACUUCCUCCUCGUUCCGCCUCCACACCACCUACAGGCUCCUCCCCAGAGACACCCACUGACAGCACCCCUGCUGCUAACGGCCUGAGCACCAUUUCCCAUGAGUAUCUGAAGGGAAGCUACGCUCUGGACCUGCAGGCUGUCAAACAGGGAGCCAGCUCUCUGCCCCACCUCAACAAGACACUGGUGUCCUCCUGCAAACGCCUCAACGGGGAGGUGGAUAAGGUUCUGUCUGGGCUGGAGAUCCUGUCCAAGGUGUUUGACCAACAGAGUGCCUUCAUAGUGUCCAAGAUGAUACAGCAGUCGGUGAAUCAGGGUGGAGAUCAGGAGUUGGAGAAUCUGGUUACUAAACUGGCUAUCCUCAAAGACUUACUGUCUUCUAUAGAGAAGAAGGCUCUGAAGGCUGUGCAAGAUAUGAGUUUGUCCACUCUCUCCUCUCCUCCUCCUCUCACACGCCACAGCAAAACCAUCCCUGUACAGGCCUUUGAGGUGAAGUUGGAUGUGUACCUGGCAGACCUGACUAAGAUAGGGAAGAGUCAGAAGCACAGUCUGUCUGUGGACGUGGAGGGAGGGAAGCUAGUGGUGAUGAAGAAGAUGAAGGACAACCAGGAGGACUGGAACACCUUCACACACCACAAGAUCCGUCAGCUGAUAAAGUCUCAACGUGUUCAGAACAAGCUGGGUAUCAUGUUUGAGAAGGACAAGGAGAAGAGCCAGAGGAAAGACUUCAUCUUCGCCAGCGCUAAGAAGCGGGAGGCUUUUUGUCAGCUGCUGCAGCUGAUGAAGAACAAACAUUCCAACCAGGACGAGCCAGACAUGAUCUCCAUCUUUAUAGGGACCUGGAACAUGGGUUCUGUGCCCUCCCCCAAGGCGGUGGGUUCCUGGCUGUUGUGUCGUGGGCUGGGCAAGACGCUGGAUGAGAUGACCGUAACUAUUCCUCAUGACCUCUACGUGUUCGGAACGCAGGAGAACUCUGUGUGUGACCGUGAGUGGGUCGACUCACUCCGCACCGCACUCAAAGAACACACAGAGCUGGAUUACAAACCGAUCGCGGUCCAGACUCUGUGGAACAUUAAGAUAGCGGUGCUGGUGAAACCAGAACAUGAAAACCGCAUCAGUCAUGUGGGAGUGUCCAGUGUUAAAACGGGCAUUGCUAAUACGCUGGGUAACAAAGGGGCAGUUGGUGUGUCUUUCAUGUUUAAUGGAACUUCCUUCGGCUUUGUGAACUGUCACCUGACAUCAGGCAACGAAAAGAUCGCCAGGAGGAACCAGAACUACCUGGAUAUCCUGCGGCUGCUCUCUCUAGGAGAUAAACAGCUGAGCUCCUUUGACAUCUCUCUACGCUUCACACACCUCUUCUGGCUGGGAGACCUCAACUACAGGCUGGACAUGGACAUACAGGAGAUCCUGAACUACAUCAACAGGAAAGAGUUUGAUCCUCUGCUGAAGGUGGACCAGCUCAACCUGGAGAGAGAGAAGAACAAGGUGUUCCUUCGCUUCGCGGAGGAGGAGAUAUCCUACCCACCCACCUACCGUUAUGAACGCGGGUCUAGGGAUACAUACGUGUGGCAGAAACAGAAGGCCACAGGGAUGAGGACUAACGUCCCGUCUUGGUGUGACAGGAUCCUCUGGAAGUCUUACCCUGAGACUCACAUUGUCUGUAACUCCUAUGGCUGUACAGAUGACAUGGUGACCAGUGACCACUCCCCAGUGUUUGGUACGUUUGAGGUGGGGGUCACCUCGCAGUUCGUCUCCAAGAAAGGUCUGCCUAAGUCCUCUGAACAGGCCUAUAUAGAGUUUGAGAAUAUUGAGGCCAUUGUGAAGACGGCCAGCAGAACCAAGUUCUUCAUCGAGUUCUACUCUACCUGCCUGGAGGAGUUUAAGAAGAGUUAUGAGAAUGACAGUCAGAGCAGUGACAACGUCAACUUCCUGCGUGUGGGCUGGACCAAUAAGCAGCUGACCACGCUGAAGCCCCUCCUCUCUGAGAUAGAAUAUCUCCAGGACCAACACCUGCUGCUCACCGUCAAGUCACUGGAUGGAUACGAGUCUUAUGGAGAGUGUGUGGUGGCUCUGAAGUCGAUGAUAGGCAGUACAGCACAGCAGUUCCAUACUUACCUGUCCCACAGAGGGGAGGAGACGGGCAACAUCAGAGGUUCUAUGAGGGUCCGCGUGCCAGCAGAGAGGAUGGGCACCAGGGAGAGGCUCUAUGAGUGGAUCAGUGUGGAUAAAGAUGAGACGGGACCCAAAGGCAGAUCCACUCUGCCCCCCCGAUCAGGACACGACUACGUAAAGCCGUCUUUGACACGCAAAGACGUGGGGGCGGUGCUUGGGAAGGUGAGCGAGGAGGGAGAGAGGAGUACCAAAGAGGAGGUGACUGCAGCCAGGGCUAAGCAGGACUCUGCAGAGGGAGACCCCUCCACCUGUAAAAACAACAGCUACAAUAACCCCGCCUACUACAUCCUGGAGGGCGUUCCUAACCAAUCAGCUGCCUCCCUGUCCCCAGAGCUCCUCCCCUCCAGCUCCCCCCCGGCCGGUAAGGCACUCCCGCCAGGAGGGGGCAGAGGGAAGCCCCCCUCAGGGUCAUCCCAACCCCGCAGGCACAACACGGCUGGGCACCCUGUUCGGCCCAUCAGUGAGGAAGGGUCCCAAGAGGAUGAUGGGAGUGUGGGGGUGGGGUCAGGGGGAGGGGCAGCCCAUGGGGGAGGAGUGGGAGGCACACUGAACCGUCCUCCUCCUGACUUCCCCCCUCCCCCCCUCCCUAAAGGAGUACUGGAGAUGGCCGACACCUCCUCUAAACCCCGCCCCCUGUACCCCGACCUGGCCGAGCUGAAGAUCCCCGCAGCCAAUCCCACUCCUGCCUUUGUCCUGGGGGAGGGCUUUAGGAGGGGAGCGGGAGGGGCCGGGGGGCUGGACGACCAAUCGUGUUCGGUGCUGCAGAUGGCGAGGACACUGAGUGAGAGCGAGUACCCCCCUCCUCCCCGUGCCCCCUCUGCACCCCCCCACCUCAGAGGCCAGGGGUUGGGGGACGCCUGUCGCACGUUCCCUCCCCGAGCCCCCAUCACAGAGAGCAUCGCUGAAGACCUACCAGAGGAGGCGCUGUGGGGAAGCAGUAGCUCGUCUCUGUCCGUGGGGGAGUCGUCUGUGGGAGAGUGGCUACAGAGUCUGGGCCUGGAGUGCUAUGAGGCGGGGCUGCUACACAACGGCUGGGAUGACCUGGAGUUCCUCAGUGACAUCACAGAGGAGGACCUGGAGGAGGCGGGCGUUCUAGAUCCCGCCCACAAAAGGAUUCUGCUGGAGAGCCUGAGACAGCAGAAGUGAGCUGAACCGCUCUGAACCGGUCCGAACCGAUCCAUACUGGGCCAAACCCAGCUGACCCUAGUGGAGACGGGCUAAUCCAUGCCAGACUUUGCCUUCUGACUAUGAGGACUGGUUUCACCAUCACUGACUUCUGAAGCUUCGGUUUUGACACUGGGAUAGGGUAUAUUUUUACACUUUCCCUCAUUGGUGCUGAGAAUAGCUGGCCACUGUGACUCCCUUUUCUGUGUCUGUGAGAGAGAGUGAGACCAAGAGAGAGAUUAUUUGAAAAGAAGAGGAAGAAAUGUGAGUGCAGGGAAGAGUGAUAUGAUCCCUUAGCAUCCCCCCAAUGCUCAGAGCCAGGGACACAAAACCACAUCCAGGGACACAAAACCACAUCCAGGGACACAAAACCACAUCCAGGGACACAAAACCACAUCCAGGGACACAAAACCACAUCUUGUUAGUUUGAGCAAUGCUUUUAGAUUUAUUUGACAGAAUAUUACAGUAGUGCUAUAACCCUUCACACAGUUGCUAUAAGCCUUCCCUUUGCCCUUAUGUAGACAGGAUGGACCGAUGAGCUGAGACAUGCUCUGUAAUGAACAACGCCUCAAAGCAAUGUGGGAAAAACACUAGACUAGGACUCAUAUUUAUAUUACUAUUUACAAAUCAUGUUCAAUUACAACAUUUUGAUAUCUGUCUAUUUCAAAAGACACUGCUUUUGGUCACAAAAACGUGUUUAUAUUGUUAUUCCAUUAUUUUCUCAUCAAUAAAUAACUGUUCUCCAG